rnacentral:rRNA from 1 species
ACCUGCGGAAGGAUCAUUGUCGUGACCCUGACCAAAAUAGACCGUGAACAUGUCAUCCAUACCGUCGAGUGACGUGCGUCGCGCACCGUCUCUCGGCAUAGGCACCUGUCCUUCUUAAGGAGGGUAGGGACCAAAAAGAACCCACGGCGCUGAAUGGCGUCAAGGAACACUGAUGUUGCUUGCUCGGGGCUACGGCUGGCUUGCCGGACGUGCCUUGUGCUGCGAUGCUCGUUGAAUCAAUAAGACUCUCGGCAACGGAUAUCUUGGCUCUCGCAUCGAUGAAGAACGUAGCAAAAUGCGAUACCUGGUGUGAAUUGCAGAAUCCCGUGAACCAUCGAGUUUUUGAACGCAAGUUGCGCCCGAGGCCUCUAGGCUGAGGGCACGUCUGCCUGGGCGUCACGCCAAGAGACACUCCCGCAACAAUACGAGUAUGGGACGUGGUGUUUGGCCUUCCAUGCCAGUCGAAUGGUGCGGUAGGCUAAAGUUGAGGCUGCUGGCUAUGGUGCCGGUCAUAGCACUUGGUGGACGACGUAUGUUGUUCUCGGAGCUCUGACUUGUACCAGUUGUGGCAUUGCAUUGGCCCUCAGGACCCUUGGACCGAUGCGUCAAUUGGUUGGACCGCGACCCCAGGUCAGUCGGGAUUACCCGCUGAAUUUAAGCAUAUCAAUAAG